rnacentral:rRNA from 1 species
GUUUGAUCCUGGCUCAGGACGAACGCUGGCGGCGUGCUUAACACAUGCAAGUCGAACGGUGAUGUCAGAGCUUGCUCUGGCGGAUCAGUGGCGAACGGGUGAGUAACACGUGAGUAACCUGCCCCCGACUCUGGGAUAACUGCUAGAAAUGGUAGCUAAUACCGGAUAUGACGAUUGGCCGCAUGGUCUGGUCGUGGAAAGAAUUUCGGUUGGGGAUGGACUCGCGGCCUAUCAGGUUGUUGGUGAGGUAAUGGCUCACCAAGCCUACGACGGGUAGCCGGCCUGAGAGGGUGACCGGCCACACUGGGACUGAGACACGGCCCAGACUCCUACGGGAGGCAGCAGUGGGGAAUAUUGCACAAUGGGCGAAAGCCUGAUGCAGCAACGCCGCGUGAGGGAUGACGGCCUUCGGGUUGUAAACCUCUUUUAGUAGGGAAGAAGCGAAAGUGA